GGGCAUGCAGGUAGAUGGUUUGGGGCAAGUUGGGGGGGGGGGGGAUGCGGGGCAUUGUAUUGAUUAAGAUGCAAAAUAUGGAUUCUUCAGAUACCGUACGUCAGAUAGGUAUAUAGGGCCUUGGUCAGAUAAUAUUGCACCAAUUGUACCUACUUUCAAGGGCUGGGUCCUGGGACGCUGGGUGAUGUCUGCCAAUGAUCAGAUGGAGACGUUACCAGAGCCUUCACUGCAAAAGAGGAUUAUUGUCCACCCAGCUUUCUGCAGCGUGUCUUCGUCUUGAGUGCGGACAUUGGGAGGCGAUCUGUUCUUGGCGGCCCAACACUGGGAAGGUGUCCAGGAUAGUGUCCCGGACAGCCUGGGAGAGCGCCAUGCCACCAGCCCAUG